GGUCAAGUAAUGAAGUGCACAUGGUGGAUGCCUUGGCAGUCAGAGGCGAUGAAAGACGUGAUAGCCUGCGAUAAGCGUCGGUGAGGUGGCAAUAUCCUGUGACCCGGCGAUUUCUGAAUGGGGAAACCCAACCAACAUAAGUUGGUUAUUACACAGUUUACUGUGUAAGGCAAACCGGGAGAAGUGAAACAUCUCAGUACCCCGAGGAAAAGACAUCAAAUGAGAUUCCGUAAGUAGCGGCGAGCGAACACGGAGGAGCCGAUCAAUUUUACAGUAGCAAAAUGGCGUGGGAAAGCCAACCAUAGUAGGUGAUAGUCCUGUAUGCGAAACUGUUUAAGCGACAUAUUAAGUAGGGCGGAACACGAGAAAUUCUGUCUGAAGAUGGGGGGACCAUCCUCCAAGGCUAAAUACUCCUGACUGACCGAUAGUGAACCAGUACCGUGAGGGAAAGGCGAAAAGAACCCCUGUUAGGGGAGUGAAAUAGAACCUGAAACCGUGUGCAUACAAGCAGUCGGAGCGGACUUGUUCCGUGACGGCGUACCUUUUGUAUAAUGGGUCAGCGACUUAUAUUCUGUAGCAAGGUUAACCGAAUAGGGGAGCCGUAGGGAAACCGAGUCUUAAUAGGGCGAAUGAGUUGCAGGGUAUAGACCCGAAACCGAGUGAUCUAUCCAUGAGCAGGUUGAAAGUGCCGUAACAGGCACCGGAGGACCGAACCCACUGUCGUUGAAAAGCCAGGGGAUGACUUGUGGAUAGGGGUGAAAGGCUAAUCAAACUCGGUGAUAGCUGGUUCUCCCCGAAAGCUAUUUAGGUAGCGCCUCGGACGAACACCAUUGGGGGUAGAGCACUGUUUCGGCUAGGGGGUCACACCGACUUACCAAACCGAUGCAAACUCCGAAUACCGAUGAGUGAUAUCCGGGAGACAGACGGCGGGUGCUAACGUCCGUCGUCAAGAGGGAAACAACCCAGACCGCCAGCUAAGGCCCCAAAUUCCUAGUUAAGUGGGAAACGAUGUGGGAAGGCACAGACAGCUAGGAGGUUGGCUUAGAAGCAGCCACCCUUUAAAGAAAGCGUAAUAGCUCACUAGUCGAGUCGGCCUGCGCGGAAGAUGUAACGGGGCUCAAACUAGGAGCCGAAGCUGCGGAUUUAAUUGUUUCAAUUAAGUGGUAGGGGAGCGUUGUGUAAGCCUGUGAAGGUGCACUGUAAGGUGUGCUGGAGGUAUCACAAGAGCGAAUGCUGACGUGAGUAACGAUAAAACGGGUGAAAAGCCCGUUCGCCGGAAGACCAAGGGUUCCAGUCCAACGUUAAUCGGGGCUGGGUGAGUCGACCCCUAAGGCGAGGCCGAAAGGCGUAGUCGAUGGGAAAUCGGUUAAUAUUCCGAUACUUGUUUAUGAUGCGAUGGAGGGACGGAGAAGGUUAUGCCAGCCUGGCGAUGGUUGUCCAGGUGGAAGGAUGUAGUUAGACUGAGUAGGCAAAUCCGCUCGGUUAUUAAUGAGAUCUGAUAGCAAGCCAGUUUACUGGCGAAGUGGCAAAUACCCUGCUUCCAGGAAAAGCUUCUAAGCGAUAGUCAUAAACGAAUCGUACCCGAAACCGACACAGGUGGUCAGGUAGAGAAUACCAAGGCGCUUGAGAGAACUCUGCUGAAGGAACUAGGCAAAAUGGUACCGUAACUUCGGGAGAAGGUACGCUGCCGAUGGUGAUGAAACUUGCUUUCUGAGCUGUUGGCAGUCGCAGAUACCAGGCUGCUGCAACUGUUUAUUAAAAACACAGCACUCUGCAAACACGAAAGUGGACGUAUAGGGUGUGAUGCCUGCCCGGUGCUGGAAGGUUAAUUGAUGGGGUUAGCGUAAGCGAAGCUCUUGAUCGAAGCCCCAGUAAACGGCGGCCGUAACUAUAACGGUCCUAAGGUAGCGAAAUUCCUUGUCGGGUAAGUUCCGACCUGCACGAAUGGCAUAAUGAUGGCAGCGCUGUCUCCAGCAGAGACUCAGUGAAAUCGAAAUCGCAGUGAAGAUGCUGUGUACCCGCGGCUAGACGGAAAGACCCCGUGAACCUUUACUACAGCUUUACAUUGAACUUUGACCUAACUUGUGUAGGAUAGGUGGGAGGCUUUGAAGCAGAUACGCCAGUAUUUGUGGAGCCAACCUUGAAAUACCACCCUGGUUAUGUUGGGGUUCUAACUUAGGAUUAACAAAUCCAAGGACAAUGUAUGGUGGGUAGUUUGACUGGGGCGGUCUCCUCCUAAAGAGUAACGGAGGAGUACGAAGGUGCGCUCAGAACGGUCGGAAAUCGUUCAAAGAGUAUAAAGGCAAAAGCGCGCUUAACUGCGAGACCCACAAGUCGAGCAGGUACGAAAGUAGGUCUUAGUGAUCCGGUGGUUCUGUAUGGAAGGGCCAUCGCUCAACGGAUAAAAGGUACUCUGGGGAUAACAGGCUGAUACCGCCCAAGAGUUCAUAUCGACGGCGGUGUUUGGCACCUCGAUGUCGGCUCAUCUCAUCCUGGGGCUGAAGCAGGUCCCAAGGGUAUGGCUGUUCGCCAUUUAAAGAGGUACGCGAGCUGGGUUUAGAACGUCGUGAGACAGUUCGGUCCCUAUCUACCGUGGGCGUUGGAAAUUUGAGAGGAUCUGCUCCUAGUACGAGAGGACCAGAGUGGACGAACCUCUGGUGUUCCGGUUGUUUCGCCAGAAGCAUUGCCGGGUAGCUACGUUCGGAUGGGAUAACCGCUGAAAGCAUCUAAGCGGGAAGCCCACCUCAAGAUAAGAUUUCCCUAAAGAGCCGUUGUAGACUACGACGUUGAUAGGUUGGGUGUGGAAGUGUAGUGAUACAUGUAGCUAACCAAUACUAAUUGCUCGUUUGGCUUGACCAU
rnacentral:rRNA from 1 species